GGAGGGAGAGUGCAGAGGUGGCACUGAGACAUGCCCACACCACACACACUGAGAUAGACUGCCAGGCAAGGAAUCACAGGGAACCACUAGACAAGACAGGGAUCGUGACAGAAGGAACCAAUGGACCAAACUUGCACAUGUGGCAAUGCCGUCACACUGUACAGCCCUGCAGAAAUUCCAACUGCAUCAACAGAGAAUCCAAAGAGAAAGAUGUCACAGCACUGGACACACUGUUUCACUGACAGGGAAUCAGGGAAUGAAGUGCAAAAACACCACAUUAGUGAGACCUUGAAGUGCCAAAGACUCCACAAAAUUAAAAAUGCAAGCAUUUCACAGGUUCCCAGCAGGAGCUCCGUUGACUGCUGUGCUACAACCACUCACUGCACCGGCAGCAGCAGCAGCCCUGACUGUAUGAAAUGAAAUAGGACUGGCUGUGUAAUUGCUCCCGUAGGGACUGCUCUGCUUCAAUAACACACUUUGUGAUUGGGUUUGGGGACCGGCCACGUUGACAGUCAAGGCAGAAUAAACAAGAAUGGGGAGGGUGUGUGUGUGUGGGGGGGUUCUAUUCUGGUCUGUGGCCUCGUGUGUGACAACAGGACAGCACCCAAGGGAGACAGGCAGCCAGAUGUGGCCUGUGCUGCUUACAACCCCCCUGUGCACCCCCAACCCCCCACCAGGGACUGGAGCAGGGAUAAUAGUUUAGACAUUAUAGGAUGUGACAGGUAGUGCUGGGUCAAUCCUAGGCAGCAUGCCUUGCUUCCUCCAUGAGAUGUGUUCCCCCUCUACUGUAUUCCCACUGGCCAUCCUCUCCCUUUCUUCCUUCUCUUCUUCCUCGCUUUCUUUCAUCUUUUCUUCCGUCCCCAUUUUAGUUUCUGUCUGUAUCUCUUUACAUUAAAGGGUGAUAAUUACCAAAAUCUGUUUUUAGAUGGUAUAAUGUGAUAAU